GCCGUUUCGAUCUGGAGGACUUCACUCGGGUUGCUUCACUCGCCUGAGGCGGGACCUCUGUUCGCGGACUCUUCAGUCUCUAGAUUCUGACCUGGCGUCGUUUUUCUCUCGAUUCAGAGACUGCACGUCUGCCCCCGUUCAGUCGCCCCUGAAGGAAGGCUCCUCCUAAGGCCAUCUUCUCUCUUAUUUUAGUGCCUCUCCCAGAAACCACUCUCCAGCUCUGACGUGCUUACAACUACCACCAACUACACUUUAUUCCCCACUGAUGUCUUCCACAGUUCUAUCCUCGUCUCCCUCACCAGCAGUAUCAUAAAGAAACAUUACAUCUUCCUUUGUCUCUGGAAAAAAUGCUUUGGCAGAGAUUGGUGAGCGUCCCGCACCUCACAACUGAAUCUAGAACUUUCCUCAUCGAGAAAGAGGAUGCUGCUGUGCUAAUUCUCCUAAGUGGGAAUGUAGUGAAGGUCACGUGGAGAGCGCACUUGACAGCGCUCUAUAAAGCACCACAGAAAUGUGACAUUAUCCCCGUUUUACAAGUGAAGAACCUGAAGCUCAGAGUAAGUACUUUGCCCAUUGACACAGCAUAAAGGAGUGACAGAGCUGGCGUUUGAAACAAGCGCCUGCCCCUGGCUCAGCGCCUGGUGCCAACAGAACACCUUUCAGGAUCCACAGCAACGCAGACAACGAGUCCAAGAUCCCGGCCUCUGCUUGGAACGGAACAGUGUCAUGGCGGAGACGACGGCCUUUGUCUUGCUGGGUGUGAAAGCAUCCGCUGUGCUGGCUCCACUGCGGCAGAAUCAAGUUUAAAGGAAGAAAGUGAUUAAAGUCAGCUUUGUGCCUCUUUGGUGUGGAAGACCCCCAAACCCCAAGUAGCCGAGUCCCUGGGUCCGAGGAAGGGCUCAUAGUUGGAGCAGCCUAGGCUGUAAUCCUGGCACUUGCGCCUUCGGUUGCUGCUUGCUGUUCGCUCCUGGGGGUCUGGAUAAUCUCCCUUGGCUUUACCGCACUGUCUGGCCCGCAUACAGGGCCCUCGUAACAUAUACCCGCUGCUGCUAUCACACGAAACUGUGGCGUUGCCCCUGAAUGGAUGGCACUGUGCCAACUCUUCUGCCAUCCGCCCUUGCAGCUUUUUUCUUUCCUCCCUCCCUCCCCUUCUUCUCCUCCUCCUCCCGUCGACUUGACGUUAAUUAACACACGGGUUAAUUGAUUUUAAAAGCCGAAGAAUUACAGUUAACUUUUCCCACAGGGUACAGACGCCAGCCGCUUGGCACACUCUGCCUUUCACACUGGUGCAGGGGGGCAGGGAAAGCCCGCAGCAGAACUGGCAACUGCUGAGGGAACGUUGCCUGCUUAUUGGAGUAGAGCCGAUAGAAGUCGACGUGGUGCUGCCUCAUCCUUACAGUAUAUAUAGCCAUUCGAUAUUCUGUUAAAUAAUCAAGCACACCCUGUCUUUCUUCUCCCUUCGUCUUCCAAAGCAGGAAACCCCUUCAGAAGUUCUUACGGGGGAAAAAUCCCUUCCCCUAGACCAUUUAUCUCAUCUAUAAUAUGUUUUUUUCCCAAUAAUAAGAAAAUGCUGGGGGACUUUUUUCUUUUUUAAGUUACAAGUAGGAAGGCUACCCCGUCCCUAAAUAUCACAUGUAAAGAAGCUAUUUUUUUUAAGGAAAAAGUUCCAUAAAGUUUCUUUCUCUGUUAUCCCAGUGUUUUGUUUUGUUCCCAUUCCUCUUGACUCCGAUGGGUGAUUUAUGGUGAAGGAUUUCACUAAGAGAGUAGGUACAUUGUAAUUAAGAACAAAAUUCGUAUGAAGGCUCUUUUUGUUUGUUUGUAGGUUUGUAGAUUUUGCUUUGUGUCCCCUUUACCCCUUAUCCUGUAGAAAAUGAAAGCAAUUGAUGCUGUAGUUGGGAAGGAGACAGGCAAAGCUGGAAACUUGAUGCUUCCACCUUUUCAUGCUUUCAUUUUAUUUCAUUUUGUUUUUUAAAAGCAUGCAGCAAGUGAAGCGACAAGAGGAAUCCAUUAUGCAAAUCAUGUCACUUUGCAUAAUGUCUCAUGACUGGAAUAUGCAAAUGAGCUGUAUAAUUUAUGAGUGCCAGUGUCUGUCUAAAAGUGUUUCACAUAAUUUACAAAGUAAGUCUGAAAGACAUGGGGAAGGCAGCUCUUCCAACACCAUUGCCAAGAAAGCUCUGUAUGUUUUCCUACAAGUGCUCCCUGGUAAUAUUAUCAAGUGCUAUUUUUAAAGAAAUUAAGGUUCCAAAUAUUCAUGAAAGACGAAGAUUUUCCUCUCACUCUCUUCACCCAAAUUCUUUGCCUGAAAAUUUACAAGAAACUAAUAGAUUCUAAAGCAUUAAUUUUUGGAUUCAAUUUUGGGGGGGGGGGAAGUUGAGCCAAACUUUUGCGAUUUGUAUAUGGAUUUUCCUUUCAAAAGCAAGGAAUGUCUUAGAGAAACAGACACCUUAUCCAUUUAUCAGGAUCUUUGAAGGCAAUAAAGUGGAAUUUCUCAUUUUGGUUGGUUUUGUGUGUGCCCUGCUAUGUGCAGCAUUUUGUAAAUUAUAUUUUCUUGGAUGUGUUAGGCAUGUAAUAUGGAAACCAGAUGCAUUUAACAUUCUUCUGAAGUUAUAAUUCUGCUUUCAGAGAUGUCUUCACAAGAGAAAUGCUAGUCAUUAAAAACCAGGUUUAAAUUAAUUAAAUCAGCUUAGUUGGCUGCUGUAUGUCUCAUUUCGGUAACUUUUUUCAGUUGAUGAUUCUGAACCUUUCGAGAAGUCAUAGCAUCUCUGAUAAUCUCAACUAAUCUGCCCUUAUAUUUUUCAUUUCAGUCAUAGUAAGUUCUGUGAAAGAAAGAUACAGGGUGCCAUGAAAAUGUACAUGAGGAGGACCUGAUCUUUGUAGAGCAUGUCAGAAAAGGCUUUCUGAAGGUGAAUUCAAGGUGAAUGCUGAAAGUUGAAGAGAGAUUAGACAAAAAGAGGGAGAACAUAUUUUCCAUGUAGACAGUAUGUUCAGUAAAUCCUGAGACAAGAGAUCAUGGCUGCUUGGAAGAAUUAAAAUAAAACCAGUGUGGCUAGAGAAUUAUGAACAGUGGGUCAUUGGAUCAUACUGGAAACAGAUUAGAAUGUAAGCAUGUGAAGAGGUCACUUAUUCAUUAUCUGCAUUUAUUUGCUGGUAUGUGGUCUCUUAUGUCACUAUUAAUUGUAUAUACGUGUACUUGGUUAACUUCACAUUGAAACCUAUCAUUCUAGUACUUUUUUAUAUAAAAUAUAAUUUUUGAUUUUUCAGAUACAUUGAAGUAUCAGAUUUCUGAAUCCUGCCUUAUGUGACCUAUUCCUUCUCUUUGUGAAGUUUUAUUUUCAAGAAUUUAAUAGCCAUUUAAGAAAAUAAAAAUAAGAGGAACACUUCACCCAACAAGAGCAGAAUACAGAUUCUCUUCAGCAUGCCCAAGAAUUUCUCCAGUGGGGCCUUUUUGAGAUUUGACACUCCUUCUAGUACCUAGGAAGUGAAAUGAAGUCAGGUUCUGAGAAGGAAAGCAUUAUAAGGCACCUGCACCUCCUUCAUUUGAAACCUCUGUGUGGUCAUCAAGUAAGAUAGGGUCCCUAUCCUCUAACAAGUGGAAGUGAGUCUCUUUCACAGUCCCUAGGGAUUGAGGGUAAUCUGGUAUUCAAAAUUCUCAGAUGCAUCAACUCUAAUGUCCCCACCUCAGGGCUUGGGGUCCCACUUCUCCAACAGGGCCCUGACAUUAGCAUAGAAGACUUGACUGAGAUGAGAAAUCAGCCUUCUCCUUAGCUCUGCCACUCUUAUAAUUAAUUCACAUAGCUAAUCUUUUUAAUUUUUUUUAUUGUUUAUUUUGAAAGAAAG